rnacentral:sRNA from 1 species
GGUACCCCCAUUCCCAUGUGAGCUGCCUCCCCAACCCCCACGCUGAAGGGGGUACAUUUGUUGGCCUGGGUUGCCAGGCCAUUAUGCUCUAGGUUCUGGAAAAGCCAGUUCUAGAGGGGACUAGGGUCCUAUCCUCAGACAUUUUUGGAUUGGCAGGCAAAGGCUGGGCUCAGGCCAUAUUCUUUGGUGUUUAGCUUGGGGUCAGAACUGGAUAGGUACCAAGGACUUGAAGCUCCUUGUGCUGGUAGCAGUCUGAGUUGGCUCCCUGGAAGAGGACACGGGUGUGAUUGGGUAUGCCUAAGCUCCAUUUGGAAACUUUGUUUCAGCUCUCAGUACCAUGGAAACUUUGUUUCAGCUCUCAGUACCAUGGCCUUGGUAGGGGAUUCAUCCCUUUUCCCCCUUACCUCUGUGCUUUUUGGGGUCUGUUUUCUAAGGAGCUCUGCAUGACUGGAGCAUCAUGGGAAGACAGCAGGCCCAGGCUUUAUCCCUGUACCCUGGUUCUAGUCACCCCCUGGUAUGGCUGGUGGCCCAGGAGGCUACCUCAUUUUGUCAUUUGUCUUCCUCUGUUAGUAGUGGCAAGGUGUGGCUAAACCCUGGGAGUUGGGAGAUGAAGGAGAUACUUGUGGCUGCCAGUAGCUGUCUAAGUGGAAGCGGUAUUUUAGGCCAAGUAGUCCCAUAAGCAGUAGACCCCAUGCCAGGACCAGGGAAAGCCCCUGAGAGAUAGUAGGCAGUAGCUCUAUCCUGACCUCUGCUUUUAUUGAUAAAAUGGACCAGUUCUGUCUUGCCUUCUCGGUGUUUGGGGGGUGGGGUGGGAUAUGUAACUCUGCAUCCUAGAUGAUCCCUCCUGGGUACACUGGAAAGGUCUGGAGCCCAGCCAGUUCUUUCCUUUUCCCCUCCCCCUCCCCCAUGUCUGCGCCCAGUGCAGCGCCAACUUCCGCUCUCCCGGGAUUCAGGACUCUAGUUGGGGCGGGUGGCUGGGCAGGGACAGAACACCAUGUUCCCUGAGGAGAUGCAUUUCCUGCAGUGGCUUGUAUGUUUGGGGGGUUCCCAAGGGGCCAGGCCACAGGGAUGGAAACCAGAGUGAGGCAGGCUCGGGGUUGCUCAUAGGUCAGAGGAGAUCAACCCACCUUGUCCAGACUCAGGCACAAUGGCCUGGCCUAUGUGAGGACUUCCUGGAAGCAGUGUUUGGGAGGACACCUGAUAGUGAAGACAGAUGAGGAAUGCCAUUGAAGCAAGAGUGGGUAGUAAGGGUAGUAAGCAGCCUCUAGGGAAGAUAAGGGUUGACCUCUGACCUCUACAGAUAUCUGUUGACCUUAGUCUUGGUCUCUGCCAUCCUCUACAAGCCUAUAGUUAGACUAGGUCUCAUGGAGGCUCUUAAUUUAAGACAGGGUAAGAUUUGCUGGGCAUCCUGGGGCUCUCUGACACCCAACUCAGAGCAGGGUCUUUCUACCUAGCUGAUCGGGCCAUAGAUGUGGACAGCUCUGAGCAGUCCACAAGCCUGGAGUUUGGGCCCUGGUAAGGACACCAGUCACAGCUGGCUGUAGAUCGAUGCCAGGUGUUCCUGGAUGCUGGCUGAAGGAAGGGCUGUGUGUUGUCCUGAGGAAGGAAGGAAAGACCUGGCUAGCUGCCCAGAAGGCCAUAAGAGGCAUACCCUUGAUGCUGCCUUCACUGGAAGUGUCUGUCUUAGAGACUCAGGUGGGCCUGUGGGCCGUCCCCUUUUGGAGCUUCAAAUAGUAUUCACCCAUACCUAUGCUCACUACCCCUGUAGGUCAGUAUUUCUGGUAGAUUUGCCAAGGUGGCACUUGCCGCUGACCUCAGGGCCAGGCAACUCUCCUAGACUCAGCUCUAAUCUUUGGUCUUCAUCAUGAUGAGAGCUCUAAGUUUUCUUCCUGGCCCUUAGCACUCCUGGAAUGUCUCGGUACAUGAAAUGUCAGAGGUCGGAUCUAAGCCCUCCACUAGGCCCGAACCCUAACCCAGGCACACAGUGGUUUUCAGGCCUGCCGUAGUACCCUUGGCAUGCUCUUGCAUGGCUGCCCACAAGUGCAUGAUGCGGCCAUGUGGAACCACACAAAAGACAUGUUUAUUAGCAACAGCUAGAAGAUGCUAAUAAAUAGAAAAGGACAGGGAUUCCCUUUCUCCAUCCCACUGACUAGUGAAACUUGCCACUGCCUUUUUUCCAAUAACCUGGCCUGGAAGCUACCUCUGCCAUCCAGUCAGAACUCUGGCCACGUGCGCUAGCGGACCCUGGCAUGGAGCCAAGCUCCUGCCCCCAGCUCUUGGACCUUCCAUUGAGAGUAGGGGUUUUUGGUGAGACACUAGUUGUGGCAAUGUCAAAUGGCUGAGUUGUGAGGAGAAAUGGGACUGUUGCUGAUAGAAAUGCAGGAAUUUCAAGGGAAGUUCCUUUAGAAGCACAGGGGUUUGACAGGUUUGGGAUACAUAGGGUCAGCCAUGAGUGUCUUGAGUCUGGUGUGCUAUAGUGAAUUCAGGGAGAAUAUAAUGAGAUCCCAGAUUCUAGGACGGUGGUGCUCAUAAUCGGUGGUGGGGGAGGACCUUCCCACAUCCCCUCACCAACCACAGGCUCAGCCCAGGGUGUACACCCUUCUGGGUUUGGGUUGACAUAUUAGUUUUACAUUGCUUGUGUAUGGUCAGGUGACUUUUCUUGUCUCUUGAAGAAAAACUUUUUUAAAGUAUUCCUCCUGUGCUACCUGCACCCCACCUAGAGACCUUACCCUUGGCUACCUGGAAGCCCCUGAGAUGAUAAGGGGCCUUUGUUACCCACUCUCCCUUCCUGGAAUCUUCACCCAUCCUAUGAACUGUGACAGAUCCCAAUGCGCCACUAAGUGACUUCCAACCACCUCUUUACAUUCCAUUUGGUACCAAGGAGAGAGUGAGCAUUUGCUCAUUUGUUUGUGUUUUCAUUGCCGAUAACUUGUAGGAUGGAGUCCGUUGUCAUGUUAGAUUUGCCCUUUGUCUUCUGCAACUCUGCUCAUUGUUACAUGGAGGCAAUACUCUCUAUUUUUGAUGUGUAUGAGCUCAAAGUAUCACUAAUAACUAACCGUUUUGUCUUUUGUAUGUAUUACAAGUGCCUUCCCACUGUUAUUUGUCUUUCAGCUGUGUUCCUUUCUUGUACAAAUGUUGUCUUUCUCUGAUUGUAAAAGUAAAUGUGGGGUUUUUUUAAAGCAUAGAAAACCUGGAAAAUACAGAAGAGCACAAAGCUAAAGAAAUAAACGUUGCCAGCCGCAUCCCUGGAGAUGCACGCUUCCUGUGCCUCAUUGUGUUCUGUUGAGUCUCUUGUGUGCGUCUGCUCUUUUUAUUUUUUAAACAAAAGUGGGUCACUGGUCACAUAUGUGGUUCUGUAUCCUAAUGUUUCCACUUAACACUAGUGAACUGGAAAGACAGAUACACUGAAACAACAGUGUGGUCAUAUCUGUAACAGGGAACUUGGGGAUACUUUGUUUCUUGUCAACUCCCACUUUCUGUCAACUUC